rnacentral:rRNA from 1 species
ACAUGCAAGUCGAACGAUGAAGCCUAGCUUGCUAGGUGGAUUAGUGGCGCACGGGUGAGUAAUAUAUAGAUAACGUGCCUCUUAGUCUGGGAUAGCCAUUGGAAACGAUGAUUAAUACUAGAUACUCCUUCUAACUCUAAUGUUAGUCGGGAAAGUUUUUCGCUAAGAGAUCGGUCUAUAUCCCAUCAGCUAGUUGGUAGUGUAAGAGACUACCAAGGCAAUGACGGGUAGCGGGUUUGAGAGGAUGAUCCGCCACACUGGUACUGAGACACGGACCAGACUCCUACGGGAGGCAGCAGUGAGGAAUAUUGCACAAUGGAGGAAACUCUGAUGCAGCAACGCCGCGUGGAGGAUGACGCAUUUCGGUGUGUAAACUCCUUUUAUAUGUCAAGAAAAUGACGGUAGCAUAUGAAUAAGCACCGGCUAACUCCGUGCCAGCAGCCGCGGUAAUACGGAGGGUGCAAGCGUUAUUCGGAAUCACUGGGCGUAAAGGACGCGUAGGCGGGAUGCCAAGUCUGAUGUGAAAUCCUAUGGCUUAACCAUAGAACUGCAUUGGAAACUGGUAACCUAGAGUAUGGGAGGGGGAGAUGGAAUUAGUGGUGUAGGGGUAAAAUCCGUAGAUAUCACUAGGAAUACCGAAAGCGAAGGCGAUCUCCUGGAACAAUACUGACGCUAAGGCGUGAAAGCGUGGGGAGCAAACGGGAUUAGAUACCCCGGUAGUCCACGCCCUAAACGAUGUUCACUAGUCGUCGGGAUGCUAGUCAUCUCGGUGAUGCACUUAACAGAUUAAGUGAACCGCCUGGGGAGUACGG